AGCUAAUACUUGCUUUAGCACUCUUGAUUAAGUUCUUGAGUGUGUACUUGUUAAGCCUUUUAAGAAAAAAGUUAUUAACUUAAGGAAUUAUAACAAAGAAGUAACACGUAAUGGAUCCGUCCAUUUUUAGUGUGUAUCAAUCGAGUUUCUGACCUAUCAGCUUUUGAUGUUAGGGUAUUGGCCUAACAUGGCUAUGACGGGUAACGGGGAAUUAGAGUUCGAUUCCGGAGAGGGAGCCUGAGAAAUAGCUACCACAUCUAAGGAAGGCAGCAGGCGCGUAAAUUACCCAAUUCUAAAGAAGAGAGGUAGUGACAAGAAAUAACAAUACAAGGCCAAUCUGGCUUUGUAAUUGGAAUGAUGGGAAUUUAAAACCUUCCCAAAACUCAAUUGGAGGGCAAGUCUGGUGCCAGCAGCCGCGGUAAUUCCAGCUCCAAUAGCGUAUAUUAAAAUUGUUGCAGUUAAAACGCUCGUAGUUGAAUUUCAAAGAAUCGAUAUUUUAAGUAACGCUUUUAGCUUAAUCCACAUAACUGAUACUACGUAUCGACUUUGUGCGCAUUUUGCUAUUAUGUGUUCUUUUAAUUAAAAUGAUUCUUUUUAAGGUCUUUCUCUUGCUUCGGCAUUUGAAGAUCUUGUUACUUUGAGUAAAUUAGAGUGUUCAAAGCAAACAGAUAUAGCAUUGCGCGUUUGAAUACUACAGCAUGGAAUAACAAAAUUGAACAAGUCAGAAUUUUGUUCUUUUUUCUUAUUUUGGCUUAGUUACGAUUAAUAGGAGUAGCUUGGGGGCAUUUGUAUUCAGAUGUCAGAGGUGAAAUUCUUAGAUUUUCUGGAGACAAACAACUGCGAAAGCAUUUGCCUAAAAUACUUCCAUUAAUCAAGAACGAAAGUUAAGGGAGUGAAGACGAUCAGAUACCGUCGUAAUCUUAACCAUAAACUAUGCCGACCAGGCUUUGGAUGAAAGAUUUUAAAAUAAGAGUUUUUUCUCUGAGGAGUUAAAACUCUUAGAUUGCUUCCUUCAGUGCCUUAUGAGAAAUCAAAGUCUUUGGGUUCUGGGGCGAGUAUUCGCGCAAGCGAGAAAGUUAAAAGAAUUGACGGAAGGGCACCACCAGGCGUGGAGCUUGCGGCUUAAUUUGACUCAACACGGGAAAACUCACUAGUUUAAGACAAGAGUAGGAUUGACAGAUUAAUAGCUCUUUCUUGAUUUCUUGGAUGGUGAUGCAUGGCCGUUUUUAGUUCGUGAAUAUGAUUUGUCUGGUUAAUUCCGAUAACGAACGAGAUCUUAACCUGCUAAUUAGCGGCAAAUACGAUAUAUUCUUAUGUGGAAUUGAAUACGGUUGAUUUGCUUAUUUUGAAGAAAAUAUUGGGAUGCGUAAAGUGUCCCUUUCCCUUUUCUACUUAAUUCGCUUAUCAUACUGUUUCUUUUUUGCGUAAGAAUGUAUUUGCUUGAUUGUAAAGCUUCUUAGAGGAACGAUGUGUGUCUAACACAAG
rnacentral:rRNA from 1 species